rnacentral:rRNA from 1 species
GACGUAGGGCGCGAGCGUUGUCCGGAUUUAUUGGGCGUAAAGAGCUCGUAGGCGGCUCGUUGCGUCGGCUGUGAAAACCCGCAGCUCAACUGUGGGCUUGCAGCUGAUACGGGCGGGCUGGAGUUCGGUAGGGGAGACUGGAAUUCCUGGUGUAGCGGUGAAAUGCGCAGAUAUCAGGAGGAAUACCGGUGGCGAAGGCGGGUCUCUGGGCCGAUACUGACGCUGAGGAGCGAAAGCGUGGGGAGCGAACAGG